GUCGAACGAGAGAGAGGGAGCUUGCUUCCUUGAUCGAGUGGCGAACGGGUGAGUAACGCGUGAGGAACCUGCCUCAAAGAGGGGGACAACAGUUGGAAACGACUGCUAAUACCGCAUAAGCCCACGGGUCGGCAUCGACCAGAGGGAAAAGGAGUGAUCCGCUUUGAGAUGGCCUCGCGUCCGAUUAGCUAGUUGGUGAGGUAACGGCCCACCAAGGCAACGAUCGGUAGCCGGACUGAGAGGUUGAACGGCCACAUUGGGACUGAGACACGGCCCAGACUCCUACGGGAGGCAGCAGUGGGGAAUAUUGCACAAUGGGGGAAACCCUGAUGCAGCGACGCCGCGUGGAGGAAGAAGGUCUUCGGAUUGUAAACUCCUGUUGUUGAGGAAGAUAAUGACGGUACUCAACAAGGAAGUGACGGCUAACUACGUGCCAGCAGCCGCGGUAAAACGUAGGUCACAAGCGUUGUCCGGAAUUACUGGGUGUAAAGGGAGCGCAGGCGGGAAGACAAGUUGGAAGUGAAAUCCAUGGGCUCAACCCAUGAACUGCUUUCAAAACUGUUUUUCUUGAGUAGUGCAGAGGUAGGCGGAAUUCCCGGUGUAGCGGUGGAAUGCGUAGAUAUCGGGAGGAACACCAGUGGCGAAGGCGGCCUACUGGGCACCAACUGACGCUGAGGCUCGAAAGUGUGGGUAGCAAACAGGAUUAGAUACCCUGGUAGUCCACACCGUAAACGAUGAUUACUAGGUGUUGGAGGAUUGACCCCUUCAGUGCCGCAGUUAACACAAUAAGUAAUCCACCUGGGGAGUACGACCGCAAGGUUGAAACUCAAAGGAAUUGACGGGGGCCCGCACAAGCAGU
rnacentral:rRNA from 1 species